ensembl:processed_transcript
AGACGGGACAACGACCAGGGACAGUGAGCAGGAAUACCAGUCAGCUGGUGGCUGCCGCUGCUACAACCGACCCAGCCACAGCUGAAAUACCCUCAACCUGGGCAGUGACUACUGUGCUCUACACAGUCAGCGGCUGAAGGGCAGUCACGGGCCAGCCAUUGAAAAUGCUCACGGUACACAUCCCUGCUGACCUUCCCCAAGACCAUGGAGAGGCAGCUGAGUCCUUAGUUUGAGGAAGACAGGAUAACAGCCUGUUCCCGCUGGGAGAGCUGCUAGAGGCCAGUGAGAUGGAGAGAGAGGCUUGCAGAGGUCACUGAUCAAUGGACUCUCAAGCUCAGCAGUGGUGGCCCAGGACUUUAAUAAUUCUAGGACUCAGAAGGCAGAGGGGGCAGAGUUCGAGACCAACCUGGUGGUCUACAGAGCAACGGGACAGCUGGGAGUAUGCAGUGAAACCCUACCUCGAAAAGACAAACAAACAAAAUAUCAUAGAUUCUCCAUCUAUGACACCGCUUGACACCAUCGGGCGGAACGCACAACAGUAAACGCCCCCGCCGCGACCAAUCAGCGAUUGCCGCACACCUCUGCCUUGGCCAAUCCACAGCGGUCUUGCAGUUCCACCCCCUUACCUAGGGUGUGAGGAAGCUGGGGCGCCCCGUGCCCAACCUGGGGAGUGUCCAGAGCCU